UUUCUACAUAACAGUAGUUUAUUUGAGGAUUUCAGUCAGGAUUUAGAGUUCAUCAUAGCACAGAGACAGCUCUGGUUAAAGUUAAUAAUGACCUUCUGACUGCUUCUGACAAUGGACUUGUCUCUGUACUUGUAUUAUUAGAUCUUAGUGCUGCAUUUGACACCAUUGACCAUGAUAUUCUUUUACAGAGACUUGAGCAUCAAAUUGGCAUUAAAGGAACCGCACUAAGCUGGUUUAAGUCAUAUUUAUCAGAUCGCUCGCAGUUUGUACAUGUUAACAAUGAAUCUUCAAUAAAUACUACAGUUAGUCAUGGAGUUCCACAAGGUUCUGUACUUGGACCAAUACUAUUUACUUUAUAUAUGCUCCCUUUAGGCAACAUUAUUAGGAAUCACUCCAUUAACUUUCACUGUUAUGCAGAUGAUACGCAGUUAUAUCUAUCAAUCAAACCCAAUGAAAUUAAUCAAUUAUCUAAAUUACAAACAUGUCUUAAGGACAUAAAAUCCUGGAUGAGCUGCAAUUUUCUGAUGUUAAACUCAGAAAAAAAUGAAAUUCUUCUUCUUGGCCCCAAAAACCUUAGAGACUCACUGUCUAAAGAUAUAGUUACUCUAGAUGGCAUUAACUUGGCCUCUAGCACCACUGUCAGGAAUCUUGGAGUUAUCUUUGAUCAAGAUUUGUCAUUUAACUCCCACAUAAAGCAGACCUCUAGGACUGCCUUCUUUCAUUUACGUAAUAUUAGAAAAAUUAGACACAUCCUAUCACAGACAGAUGCAGAAAAACUAAUCCAUGCAUUUGUUACUUCAAGGCUGGAUUACUGCAACUCUUUAUUAUCAGGUUGCCCCAAUAAGUCCAUUAAAACGCUCCAAUUAAUUCAGAACGCUGCAGCACGAGUACUGACAGGAACUAGAAAAAGAGAUCACAUCUCUCCUGUACUAGCUUCUCUGCACUGGCUCCCUAUAAAAUGUAGAAUUGAAUUUAAAAUCCUCCUCCUCACCUAUAAAGCUCUUCAUGGUCAGGCCCCUUCAUAUCUUAAAGAGCUCAUAGUACCCUAUUACCCCUCUAGAACACUACGUUCUCUGAAUGCUGGGCUACUUGUGGUUCCUAUAGUCUCUAAAAGUAGAACAGGAGCCAGAGCCUUCAGUUACCAAGCUCCUCUCCUGUGGAACCAGCUUCCAGUUGUGGUUCUGGAGGCAGACACCCUCACCACAUUCAAGAAUAGGCUUAAGACAUUCCUCUUUGAUAAAGCUUAUAGUUAGGGCUGGAUCAGGUGAGUCCUGAACCAUCCCUUAGUUAUGCUGCUAUAGGCCUAGACUAUCGGGGGAUUUCCCAUGGUGCACUGAGCUCCUCCCUUCCUCUCUCUUUCUGCACUCAUGUUCCAUUAAUGCAUGUUACUAACUUCACUUCUUCCCCGGAGUUCUUGUGCUUUCUCGUCUCGCAGGUUCUCAUGGAUCCUGGUGGAGCCUCCUGCCAUGGUCCUGCUUGACUGCCAUUGCCAAUACUGUUGUUGCUGUGCACCUGUCUGUCUGUCUGUCGCUCUCUCUCUCUCUCUCUCUCUCUCUCUCUCUCUCUCUCUCUCUCACCCCAACUGGUCGAGACAGACGACCACCCACCUAGAGCCGGAGGAUCUGUCCUAGGUUUCUGCCUUUUAACAGGCAGUUUUUCCUUGCCCUUGUCGCCAAGUGCUUGCUCAUGGUGGUACUGUUGGGUCUCUGUAAUUAAUGUUAAAGAGUUCGGUCUAGACCUGCUCUAUUUGAAAAGUGUCCUGAGAUAACUUCUGUUAUGAAUUGGCGCUAUACAAAUAAAAUUGAAUUGAAUUGAA